rnacentral:rRNA from 1 species
UACGGGGGGGGCAAGCGUUGUUCGGAAUUACUGGGCGUAAAGGGCUCGUAGGUGGCCAACUAAGUCAGACGUGAAAUCCCCAGGCUUAACCUGGGAACUGCAUCCGAUACUGGAUGGCUUGAAUUCGGGAGAGGGAUGCAGAAUUCCAGGUGUAGCGGUGAAAUGCGUAGAUAUCUGGAGGAAUACCGGUGGCGAAGGCGGCAUCCUGGACCGACAUUGACGCUGAACGGCGAAAGCUAGGGGAGCAAACGGG